GCGCAUUUGUCGGGGGCGCGCCUCGGUGGUUCAUUUACAGCGCAAAUCGAAAACGCAAGUAACAGCAAAAAAAGGGGAAAAGGAUACCCUGUCACCCUAUGGUUGAAGAUGGAUGGAUGGAUACCCAGAGAGUCUACAUCAAUUGAAUGUAUUCUACACUUUAUACUGAGAACAAACAGCCCCCAGAAAGGGAUGAAGAAGACGAAGGUCUUCAUGGGGUUCAUGAACCAAUUGAAGGACGUCUUGGGUCGACUGGUGAGGUACGAGAAAGAGAGCAGGGCGUUACUUACGUACUUUAGCAAAACAUUGAUUCUGCCUCAACAGUGACCCCCCUUGGUAGCCCUCUUCCAAACUACCUGGUGAUCAUAUAGUUCGCCAAACUGAAAUAAUUCACCUUGCAGCACUUGCUAUUAGCGUUAGAUGGCGAUGCUUGUUAUUUGCCUGAACCCCAUUUAUUGUAAAUAUCCCUGUACUGUGCGCUACAUUAUUGACAAAUGCAGGUCUGCGCCGUGACAGAGCUCGGCUUCUCACUUGGGCUUCUCCAGCGGCUCUGGUUCCUUGCGUGCUUUUCCCACAGGAUUUUUCUCUGCAUCUUCCACUGUCACCAACUGGAACUCAGCCUCCACUUUACCCUGGAAGUCCAAAAAAUUUACAUGAAACAUAUAAAGCCACCGGGGCAGUGAGUACAGUAACCUAUAAUGUCAAUCCUGACAUAUACUCCAUGCUGCCUUCAGGUUAUGCGCUACGAGAGUAUAUGUCAGUUGAAUGUGCCCCAGAAUUUGGCUCCCAUGUUGGAAAAAAUAUCCAGCUCCUCUUUUCUGUGCUUUCUGUCUUCAGCCUAAAUAACGCAGCGCUUUCGCUGCGACCCGUGAAGGAGAACCGAUCGCCAGCAUUACCAUCAGGAGUCGGGGUUUGAUGUUGACAGGUGGUGGCGCUGGAACGUCAACAGGGAACAUGUCGAUCCACAUGUGCGCAUAUCCCUGCCGAAAGCAAAGCAGCGGUCAGUGCAUCGCACUCAGGCACAGGGCGGAGGGGCUGGACAGGGGGCUGCUUGCGGCCAUCACCUGAGGCAGGCCGGGCUUAUCGCUGUUGAAGAGGGAGCGGACCUCCACAUGCUCCGGCACCAGGGGGCAGGAGCCCACGCAGAACUCCCUCAUCUCACCCCAGCGGUGGAGCACACUCAGAGCCCUGUGCUCGUCCAGCUCAUUCAAGUCCUCCUCUGUCUUCUUGUUUUUCUUUACCAGGUCUGGGAAGGCAUGGUGCAGUUCAGGGGUCUCAUUCUCAUUUGGACAGGGGGGACACAGCUCACACUGACAAAGAAUAUGCCAGCUGCAGAAGUGAACUUCAGUCUAUGUGGCUUAACGGGCGACAUAAUUCUGAAGGUCUUUGUCAGGAUCUGAGUUCCUAAACUGAAAGGAUGCAAGCUGAAAUUCCUGCAGAAAUUUGAUAAAUUUAACUACAUUUUUUGUACAAAUCUAGAAUAUCUUUCUAAAACUAUAAGACGCGGAUACUAAUUAAAAUAAAGCGAUAUGUAUUUUUAAUGAUAUCAAUAAGCAAAUGUGUUUAGCUGCAGAUGUGCACCCACAUCCUUAGGUGUAAGUGUGAGAGUGUGCUCAGACCUUCAGGAAAAGCCUCGCUGGGUAUUUUGAAUAUCUUGUUGAGCACUUUGACUUCCGCCUCGCGGUACUCGGGCGGCCCGAUGCCGUUCUUGCGGCAGAGAUCGGCCAGAAUGGCAGAUGGCUUCUUCGAAUCCCUCCACUGAUUGUAGCCAUCCCUGUAGGGAAGACAGCCGCGUAAACUUACUGCGUCGCGGUCAGGUCUAAUAAACAGCCAUUCAAGGGGCGUCAGGUGACCUGUCCAGAAGCCAACAGCUUGCCAGGACGGCCUCUUAUGCUGCGCUGAGCCGGGAGGCUUAUCUGGAUCGCAGGUUCCUCUAUACAAACCUUUUGUCAGUGUUUGAAUGUAGGUGGUUUCGUGUUUCUGGGUAUUGUAGUUUUUGUGCUUCUGGGCGGUUGUUACUUUAUACAGCUAGCUUUGUUUUACCCUGAGCUGAGUUUUCAGGCUGCAUCAAAUUGCUUAAAUAAAAAAUGCAUAAAUAA